UCCCUGGUGGCUCAGUGGUAAAGAAUCUGCCUGCAAUGCAGGAGACACGGGUUCAAUCCCUGAGUUGGGAA
rnacentral:tRNA from 1 species